rnacentral:rRNA from 1 species
AGCAAAAGAAACCAACAGGGAUUGCCCCAGUAACGGCGAGUGAAGCGGCAACAGCUCAAAUUUGAAAUCUGGCCCUUUUGGGUCCGAGUUGUAAUUUGUAGAGGAUGCUUUUGGCAAGGUGCCGCCCGAGUUCCCUGGAACGGGACGCCACAGAGGGUGAGAGCCCCGUCUGGCUGGCCACCGAGCCUCUGUAAAGCUCCUUCGACGAGUCGAGUAGUUUGGGAAUGCUGCUCAAAAUGGGAGGUAUAUGUCUUCUAAAGCUAAAUAUUGGCCAGAGACCGAUAGCGCACAAGUAGAGUGAUCGAAAGAUGAAAAGCACCUUGAAAAGAGGGUUAAAUAGUACGUGAAAUUGUUGAAAGGGAAGCGCUUGUGACCAGACUUGGGCGCGGCGGAUCAUCCGGGGUUCUCCCCGGUGCACUUCGCCGUGUCCAGGCCAGCAUCAGUUCGUCGCGGGGGAAAAAGGCUUCGGGAACGUGGCUCCCCUGGGAGUGUUAUAGCCCGUUGCAUAAUACCCUGCGGUGGACUGAGGACCGCGCAUCUGCAAGGAUGCUGGCGUAAUGGUCACCAGCGAC